AUGUGGUCACAGGAGCCAGCAGAAGUGAAAAUAGAACUCUUUCCAAGUCACUGGAAACCCCGCAGGAGUCCUUGUGUUGUGACGGGGACACAGCUGGUCCUGAGAAGGCAUCAUAUUCAGACAAGCAUGUCAGAUUGCAUUCAUUACUGUGGCUUCCUAUUUCUGGGAUGGCCAAAUGUAUGAAGAAUGGAUUAUUUAACACUUAUAACACAUUUUGAAAACCUAAAUCACAUUGUUGCAACUAGGCAACUGUUGAAAAAGUAAGUACCAGAUUUAUUAGCAGCUAUUUUCACAAAGAUUCCAUUUAAUAAUGUUGGUGUACCCUCUGUAAUUUAUUUGAUUAAUAAUAUUUGAUUUGAACCCAAAUGAUGACUUCUCACAUAUAUGACAGAACUAAUGAACUGUGAAAGAAGAACUGUUCAGAUGGUCACCAAUAACCACUGCUUUGUUAAUCCUUUAAAUAAACUGGAGCUCACAAUGUGUCCCUUUGAAGUC
rnacentral:lncRNA from 1 species